rnacentral:rRNA from 1 species
GGAAGUAGUCGUAACAAGGUCCCCGUUGGUGAACCAGCGGAGGGAUCAUUACCGAGUUAUCCAACUCCCAACCCCUGUGAAUUAUACCUUUAAUUGUUGCUUCGGCGGGACUUCGCGCCCGCCGGGGACCCAAACCUUCUGAAUUUUAAUAAGUAUCUUCUGAGUGGUUAAAAAAAUGAAUCAAAACUUUCAACAACGGAUCUCUUGGUUCUGGCAUCGAUGAAGAACGCAGCGAAAUGCGAUAAGUAAUGUGAAUUGCAGAAUUCAGUGAAUCAUCGAAUCUGAACGCACAUUGCGCCCGUCAGUAUUCUGGCGGGCAUGCCUGUUCGAGCGUCAUUACGCCCCUCAAGUCCCCUGUGGACUUGGUGUUGGGGCGGCGAGGCUGGUUUUCCAGCACAGCCGUCCCUUAAAUUAAUUGGCGGUCUCGCCGUGGCCCUCCUCUGCGCAGUAGUAAAACACUCGCAACAGGAGCCCGGCGCGGUCCACUGCCGUAAAACCCCGGCUACUUUUUAUAGUUGACCUCGAAUCAGGUAGGACUACCCGCUGAACUUAAGCAUAUCAAUUUAAGCGGAGA